GUUUCUAUAGUGAAGCCCCUCACCUAACCUUUUCAAGGUUAAAACGUAUUUUUACUAGAAACU
rnacentral:tRNA from 1 species